rnacentral:rRNA from 1 species
CCUACGGGUGGCAGCAGUGGGGGAUAUUGCACAAUGGGGGGAACCCUGAUGCAGCGACGCCGCGUGGGUGAAGGAGCGUUUCGGCGCGUAAAGCUCUAUCGGCAGGGAAGAAGAUGACGGUACCUGACCAAGAAGCGCCGGCUAACUACGUGCCAGCCGCCGAGGUACUACGUAGGGGGCGCGCGUGAUCCGGUAUUACUGGGUGUAAAGGGGGCGCAGACGGUAGUGCAAGCCGGGAGUGAAAGCCUGGGGCCCAACCCCGGGAGCGCCCUUGGAACUGCAUGGCUGGAGUGCGGGUGGGGCAGGCGGAAUGCCUAGUGUAGCGGUGAAAUGCGUAGAUAGUAGGAAGAACACCGGUGGCGAAGGCGGCCGGCUGGACUGUGACUGACGUUGAGGCCCGAAGGCGUGGGGAGCAAACAGGAUUAGAUACCCCUGUAGUC